GCCCGGCUGGCUCAGUCGGUAGAAGGCACGAGACUCUUAAUCUCGGGUCGUGGGUUUCGGGAAACCCCGUUGGGCA